rnacentral:lncRNA from 1 species
AAAUCAUUGGUGUCACUUUGGAGUGAAAAAACCCCAACCAGGCUGGCUGUAAACUGUCUUUUAGGGAUCAGGGAGCUGGGGAAUGUCGGAUCACGGAUCACCACUGCCCUUCCAAGAGGACCUGAGAGCACCACCAUCACCAGGCCUGAUGAAUGUGCUGGAGGAUGUAAACCUGGAUGAAGAUUUUGGCUCGAGGAGAGUUGGUUUUUCCAAAGUGAAAUGAUGGAUUUAUCAUGCUAGAUAUGAACAAAGUUGUUACAAAGUAAAAUAAAUUAAAAUGGAGGCAAAACA